rnacentral:rRNA from 1 species
GACUCUCGACAACGGAUAUCUCGGCUCUCGCAUCGAUAAAGAACGUAGUGAAAUGCGAUACUUGGUGUGAAUUGCAGAAUCCCGUGAACCAUCGAGUCUUUGAACGCAAGUUGCGCCCGAAGCCGUUAGGCCGAGGGCACGUCUGCCU